rnacentral:rRNA from 1 species
UACGAAGGGGGCGAGCGUUGUUCGGAAUCACUGGGCGUAAAGGGCGCGUAGGCGGCCCUCCUUGUCGCGUGUGAAACGGCCCGGCUCGAACCUGGACGGCGCGCGAGACGGGGGGGCUGGAGUUCGGGAGGAGGAGCGUGGAAUUCCCAGUGUAGAGGUGAAAUUCGUAGAUAUUGGGAAGAACACCGGUGGCGAAGGCGGCGCUCGUGGACCGACACUGACACUGAGAGACGAAAGGCUAGGGGAGCGAAUGGG